GAUGAACGCUGGCGGUGGGCCUAAUACAUGCAAGUCGAGCGAACACAUAAUGAGAUCGCUCUUUUAAGGGUAGCGGGUGACGGAUGAGUAAGACGUACAUAAGCUACUUAUUUUACUUGGAUAACUUCGUAAAGCCGCAUACACUACCAGAUCAUACGUUGUACGGCAUGAAUCAAGAGUUAAUGACAGCUUUCCUGUUAGUAUGAGAUGGUGUCGCGCCGGAUUAUCUAGUUGGUAAGGUAACGGCUUACCAAGGCAACGAUGCGUAGCCGACCUGAGAGGGUGAUCGGCCACACUGGAACUGAGACACGGUCCAGACUCCUACGGGAGGCAGCAGUAGGGAAUAUUGGACAAUGGGCGCAAGCCUGACCCAGCCAUACCGCGUGAGUGAUGAAGGCCUUCGGAUCGUAAAGCUCUGUUGUUGGGAAAGAAAAGAAGCAUGUGAAAAUCUCGCUGUUUUGACGGUACCCAAAGAAUAAGCACCGGCUAACUUCGUG
rnacentral:rRNA from 1 species